UAUUAAACCAGUUCGAAGGAGCAUCUUUAGCUUAUAAUAUGCCUGUUGCGGUAAAAUUUACCGGAGAUCUGGAUGUUUU
rnacentral:misc_RNA from 1 species